UUUAAAGGAAUUUACAAGACUAAAAUAAAUUCGGCUGGUGAUGGUUGAGAACAAAUUCAGCUCUUGUAAGGUAUGCCAUUUUGAAGAAUGAAAUUUUAUCUUUCAAGAUAAAGGGAAUCUUUGUGAAAAUACUUUAUAUAAAAAAGAUACGAAACUUGAAUUCUAAAAGGGCCUGUACAACCUAAUAGUGGUGGAAGCAUUUACACCCAGUCAGCUUGAAGAAUCUCAAAUGGAGCCUACCACUGAGAAAUCAAGAUGGCAGCCCACUGUGGGGAUUGAGGAAAAUGGAUUAAAACAAGAGUGCUGUGAUAACAUGCAACCCAGACACAGGGUUCUUUUUACAUGGAUUUCAUGAAAUGGAGAUAGAGGUUUCUUACAACACAAGUGGACAGUGCAUUUGACUUUAUAAAGACUUUGUAUCAUUAAAACAAGUAUAUUUUUGACAUGAAGAUGAUACAUUGACACAGAUGAUAAUUUGUAUACCUGAUUUUUUUUUUUGUUUGACUUGUUUGAAAAUGACCUUGUGGAAUGUUAACUGUAAUAAAAUUUCAAAUACUUUAAA